UGUUGUUCAGCCAUUAUGCAUAAUAAUAUUGUUAGUAUGUAGAAAAUGUGAUCAGUGAAAUGAUACAGAUUGUAAAACUGUUCAAGUUCAGGGUAAUUCAACAGGUUUUAUUCCAUUCCACUAUUAGAACAAUACAACAGUACAUCCAUUAACCUCAGCUGUCUAAUACAUUAAGUCAAUAAAUGGCUGUUAUAUUAACAGAACAUAAUUAAAAGACAACAAUAAUGCUCUCAGGCAGCGUCCAAAGAAGGGCUCAGAUUCCUUCCAUUCAACUUAGCUGAAAGGGAGCACUUGCAAGGUGGGCUCAGCUUCUUUUCCCAGGCAGCUUUUCUGUUUGUUAGGUCAGAAGAAGCACAGGCUGGAGAUGAAGUAAAAGCUCACUCUAAGGAAGGCUGAGAUAUCAGAACAGGCUUCCUCGAGGCAGCAGUCACAGCCCAGGGCUGACCCACUUAACAAAGUGCUUGGAUGCAGCUCUCAUCUUGAACAGUUGAAGUCAGGGCAAUCUCACGUAGAUGUAGGAGUCGCAUGUCCAUUUCAACCAGAGCAUGCAGUGCCAAAGAGCCAAUCGCUUCAGGGAUCAUCCCUCUUCCUCUUCACAUUCCCCAAGAUGAAAACCUUCAGCAGCAAACGAGUGAGGCUAACGCACAGAAAGAGACCACACACCCACAUCUUUGUGAGGUAUGUAAGGAAUUACUGUUUUAAGUUAGAGACAGGCAGGUAUCCACUCCACCACAAACCCUCAAGCGAGCUAAGCCUAGUCCUUCCCCUACAGGGCAGAUAGUCUCAGGCAUCUCAGAUCCCACAGGCAACGCAGAACAGUAGCACUGACAUAAGAAAUAAUCCCACCAAAAAGCCUUCAGGAGCCAAUAAUUCUGCAAAAAGGAAUUAUCACUCAGUUACCAGUAUUUUAGAGGUAGGCAUUGAAAUAAUAAUAGAAUUUUAUCCUGAAGGCAUCCUUCACAGUUUUGCUCUAGUAAGAAGAUGAAGCAGGAGACAAGCAAUUGAGGGAGAGCUAGCUUUUCACUAUUUAAAUCCAGAUCUUUUUAAGUCCCCCAUCUAGCAAUUGGGCACACUCUUACAUACCAAGUAGAGUGUACUGUAUCUGCCCAAAGAGAUAGCUUAAUUUUUUUUAUAUAUAUAUAAAUCAGUUGUCCUCAGAGAGCUCUCAGAACAGCUUUUACCAGCAUUUCCAUUUAUUUCCCCAUUUGGUUAUGUUUUUUCUUGCCAAGAAGAAAUGACAAUAAAGCCCUAGAGAGCAUAAUAGCA
rnacentral:lncRNA from 1 species